GACGAACGCUGGCGGCGUGCUUAACACAUGCAAGUCGAACGGAAAGGCCCUGCUUGCAGGGUACUCGAGUGGCGAACGGGUGAGUAACACGUGGGUGAUCUGCCCUGCACUUCGGGAUAAGCCUGGAAACUGGGUCUAAUACCGGAUAGGAGCCAUUUUUAGUGUGAUGGUUGGAAAGUUUUUUCGGUGUAGGAUGAGCUCGCGGCCUAUCAGCUUGUUGGUGGGGUAAUGGCCUACCAAGGCGGCGACGGGUAGCCGGCCUGAGAGGGUGGACGGCCACAUUGGGACUGAGAUACGGCCCAGACUCCUACGGGAGGCAGCGGUGGGGAAUAUUGCACAAUGGGCGCAAGCCUGAUGCAGCGACGCCGCGUGGGGGAUGACGGCCUUCGGGUUGUAAACUCCUUUCGCUAGGGACGAAGCUUUUUGUGACGGUACCUAGAUAAGAAGCACCGGCUAACUACGUG
rnacentral:rRNA from 1 species